rnacentral:siRNA from 1 species
UCUCGCCACUUCCAAUUACGACGA